rnacentral:rRNA from 1 species
CGUUUUGUGAGAGAUUUCAGCACCAUUGUUGCACCUCUCAAUGAGCUUACAAAGAAAGAUGUGCCUUUUCUUUGGGGUACCGCACAGGAAGAAGCCUUCUCGGUAUUGAAAGAUAAGUUGACACAUGCUCCUUUACUCCAACUUCCUGAUUUUAAUAAGACUUUUGAGCUUGAAUGUGAUGCUAGUGGAAUUGGAUUAGGCGGUGUGUUAUUACAAGAUGGCAAACCUGUUGCAUACUUUUCUGAAAAAUUGAGUGGGCCUAGUCUGAAUUAUUCUACUUAUGAUAAAGAAUUAUAUGCUCUUGUUCGGACUUUAGAAACAUGGCAACAUUAUUUA